AGUCGAGCGAGGCGGCCCGCAAGGGUCAGUCGAGCGGCGAACGGGUGAGUAACGCGUGGAUUAUCUACCCUGAGGUGGGGGAUAACCCGGGGAAACUCGGGCCAAUACCGCAUGAUACCGAGAGGUCAAAGGGGGCUCGCAAGGGCUCUCGCCAUAGGAGGAGUCCGCGUCCGAUUAGCUAGUUGGUAGGGUAAUGGCCUACCAAGGCAACGAUCGGUAGCCGGCCUGAGAGGGUGAUCGGCCACACUGGAACUGAGACACGGUCCAGACUCCUACGGGAGGCAGCAGUGGGGAAUUUUGCGCAAUGGGCUAACGCCUGACGCAGCAACGCCGCGUGGAGGAUGAAGGUCUUUGGAUUGUAAACUCCUGUCGACCGGGAAAAAGCAACUCGACCUAACACGUCGGGGAGUUGAUUGUACCGGUGGAGGAAGCCCCGGCUAACUCUGUGCCAGCAGCCGCGGUAAUACAGAGGGGGCAAGCGUUAUUCGGAAUUAUUGGGCGUAAAGGGCGCGUAGGCGGCCUGGCAAGUGGAAGGUGAAAUCCCUCGGCUUAACCGAGGAACUGCCCUCCAAACUGCUUGGCUUGAGUCCGGGAGAGGUGAGUGGAAUUCCCAGUGUAGCGGUGAAAUGCGUAGAUAUUGGGAGGAACACCAGUGGCGAAGGCGGCUCACUGGACCGGAACUGACGCUGAGGCGCGAAAGCGUGGGGAGCAAACGGGAUUAGAUACCCCGGUAGUCCACGCCGUAAACGAUGAGUGCUUGGUGUAGCGGGUAUCGACCCCUGCUGUGCCGAAGUCAACACAUUAAGCA
rnacentral:rRNA from 1 species